AGAUGGCGACCGGCGCACGGGUGAGUAACACGUAUCCAACCUGCCGAUAACUCGGGGAUAGCCUUUCGAAAGAAAGAUUAAUACCCGAUGGUAUAAUCAGACCGCAUGGUUUGAUUAUUAAAGAAUUUCGGUUAUCGAUGGGGAUGCGUUCCAUUAGGCAGUUGGUGAGGUAACGGCUCACCAAACCUUCGAUGGAUAGGGGUUCUGAGAAGAAGGUCCCCCACAUUGGAACUGAGACACGGUCCAA
rnacentral:rRNA from 1 species